AGGACGAACGCUGGCGGCGUGCUUAACACAUGCAAGUCGAACGGAAAGGCCCGCUUGCGGGUACUCGAGUGGCGAACGGGUGAGUAACACGUGGGCAACCUGCCCUCAGCUUCGGGAUAACACUUGGAAACAGGUGCUAAUACCGGAUAAUAACCUUUCAUCGCAUGGUGUGGGGUUCAAAGUUUUUCGGCUGGGGAUGGGCCCGCGGCCUAUCAGCUUGUUGGUGGGGUAAUGGCCUACCAAGGCGACGACGGGUAGCCGGCCUGAGAGGGCGACCGGCCACACUGGGACUGAGACACGGCCCAGACUCCUACGGGAGGCAGCAGUGGGGAAUAUUGCGCAAUGGGCGGAAGCCUGACGCAGCGACGCCGCGUGAGGGAUGACGGCCUUCGGGUUGUAAACCUCUUUCAGCUCUGACGAAGCGCAAGUGACGGUAGGAGCAGAAGAAGCACCGGCCAACUACGUGCCAGCAGCCGCGGUAA
rnacentral:rRNA from 1 species